GACGAACGCUGGCGGCGUGCUUAACACAUGCAAGUCGAACGGAAAGGCCCUGCUUUUGUGGGGUGCUCGAGUGGCGAACGGGUGAGUAACACGUGAGUAACCUGCCCUUGACUUUGGGAUAACUUCAGGAAACUGGGGCUAAUACCGGAUAGGAGCUCCUGCUGCAUGGUGGGGGUUGGAAAGUUUCGGCGGUUGGGGAUGGACUCGCGGCUUAUCAGCUUGUUGGUGGGGUAGUGGCUUACCAAGGCUUUGACGGGUAGCCGGCCUGAGAGGGUGACCGGCCACAUUGGGACUGAGAUCCGGCCCAGACUCCUACGGGAGGCAGCAGUGGGGAAUAUUGCACAAUGGGCGGAAGCCUGAUGCAGCCACGCCGCGUGCGGGAUGACGGCCUUCGGGUUGUAAACCGCUUUCGCCUGGGACGAAGCGUGAGUGACGGUAAUGGGUAAAGAAGCACCGGCUAACUACG
rnacentral:rRNA from 1 species